UCCAACAGGCCACACUUCUAAUAGUG
rnacentral:piRNA from 1 species